rnacentral:rRNA from 1 species
GGGCGCGGGAAGUCGAUUCAGGCCUAACACAUGCAAGUCGAGCGGUAGAGAGAAGCUUGCUUCUCUUGAGAGAGGCGGACGGGUGAGUAAUGCCUAGGAAUCUGCCUGGUAGUGGGGGAUAACGUUCGGAAACGGACGCUAAUACCGCAUACGUCCUACGGGAGAAAGCAGGGGACCUUCGGGCCUUGCGCUAUCAGAUGAGCCUAGGUCGGAUUAGCUAGUUGGUGAGGUAAUGGCUCACCAAGGCGACGAUCCGUAACUGGUCUGAGAGGAUGAUCAGUCACACUGGAACUGAGACACGGUCCAGACUCCUACGGGAGGCAGCAGUGGGGAAUAUUGGACAAUGGGCGAAAGCCUGAUCCUUCAGAGGCCGCGUGUGUGAAGAAGGUCUUCG